rnacentral:ribozyme from 14 species
AAGAGGAACAAAAAAAAGAGGAAGGGAUGCUUUGAUGGUUGUUGUUCUUUCUUUCUGUUGUUUUUCUUCUUUAUCACUUACUAUUAUUAUUUGGUUUAUUUUUAUCGA